rnacentral:rRNA from 1 species
CAGUCGCCGCGGGAAUACGAAGGGGGCUAGCGUUGUUCGGAAUUACUGGGCGUAAAGCGCACGUAGGCGGAUCGAUCAGUCAGGGGUGAAAUCCCAGGGCUCAACCCUGGAACUGCCUUUGAUACUGUCGAUCUGGAGUAUGGAAGAGAUGAGUGGAAUUCCGAGUGUAGAGGUGAAAUUCGUAGAUAUUCGGAAGAACACCAGUGGCGAAGGCGGCCCGCUGGACAUGUAUUGACGCUGAGGUGCGAAAGCGUGGGGAGCAAACAGGAUUAGAUACCCCUGUAGUCCCUGUCUCUUAUAA